rnacentral:misc_RNA from 1 species
AGCAGCCGCGGUAAUUCCAGCUCCAAUAGCGUAUAUUAAAGUUGUUGCAGUUAAAAAGCUCGUAGUUGAAUUUCGGGAUCAAGGAAUCGGUCAUGCCUCGGUAUGUACUGGUUUUAUUGGUUCUCACCUUCUAAAGAACCAUGAUGUCAUUCAUUUGAUGUUAUGGGGAAUUAGGACUGUUACCUUGAAAAAUUAGAGUGUUUAAAGCAAGCUUACGCUUGAAUACAUUAGCAUGGAAUAAUGAAAUAGGACGUUUGAUUCUAUUUUGUUGGUUUCUAGGAUCGACGUAAUGAUUAAUAGGGAUAGUUGGGGGCAUUAGUAUUCAAUUGUCAGAGGUGAAAUUCUUGGAUUUAUUGAAGACUAACUACUGCGAAAGCAUUUGCCAAGGAUGUUUUCAUUAAUCAAGAACGAAAGUUAGGGGAUCGAAGACGAUCAGAUACCGUCGUAGUCUUAACCAUAAACUAUGCCGACUAGGGAUCGGAUGAUGUUAAUUUUUAAUGACUCAUUCGGCGCCUUAAC